GUGGGUGUAGUUCAACGGCAGAACGGCAACUUCUUAUGGGAUACCCUUCCUUUAUUUCUUAUUGCCAUGCGGGUUCAACUCCUGCCACUCACA
rfam:Lactobacillus plantarum WCFS1 complete genome